CACCGAUGGCGAAGGCAGAUCUCUGGGCCGUAACUGACGCUGAGGAGCGAAAGCAUGGGGAGCGAACAGGAUUAGAUACCCUGGUAGUCCAUGCCGUAAACGUUGGGCGCUAGAUGUAGGGACCUUUCCACGGUUUCUGUGUCGUAGCUAACGCAUUAAGCGCCCCGCCUGGGGAGUACGGCCGCAAGGCUAAAACUCAAAGGAAUUGACGGGGGCCCGCACAAGCGGCGGAGCAUGCGGAUUAAUUCGAUGCAACGCGAAGAACCUUACCAAGGCUUGACAUACACCGGAAACGGCCAGAGAUGGUCGCCCCCUUGUGGUCGGUGUACAGGUGGUGCAUGGUUGUCGUCAGCUCGUGUCGUGAGAUGUUGGGUUAAGUCCCGCAACGAGCGCAACCCUCGUUCUAUGUUGCCAGCGGGUUAUGCCGGGGACUCAUAGGAGACUGCCGGGGUCAACUCGGAGGAAGGUGGGGAUGACGUCAAAUCAUCAUGCCCCUUAUGUCUUGGGCUUCACGCAUGCUACAAUGGCCGGUACAAAGGGCUGCGAUACCGUAAGGUGGAGCGAAUCCCAAAAAGCCGGUCUCAGUUCGGAUUGAGGUCUGCAACUCGACCUCAUGAAGUCGGAGUCGCUAGUAAUCGCAGAUCAGCAACGCUGCGGUGAAUACGUUCCCGGGCCUUGUACACACCGCCCGUCAAGUCAUGAAAGUCGGUAACACCCGAAGCCGGUGGCCUAACC
rnacentral:rRNA from 1 species